AGCUUCUAUCAACAUUAUUCAGGGCCUUACCCAAGACCCGGUGUACAAUUUUUGGAAACCCUGUCCGGUUUUAUAGGGCAGGGUU
rnacentral:snRNA from 13 species